GAUGAACGCUAGCGGCAGGCUUAAUACAUGCAAGUCGAGGGGCAGCGCGGGUAGCAAUACCUGGCGGCGACCGGCAAACGGGUGCGGAACACGUACACAACCUUCCUUUUGGUGGGGGAUAGCCCAGAGAGAUUUGGAUUAAUACCCCAUAAUAUAUUUUGAUUGCAUAAUUGGAAUAUUAAAGAUUUAUUGCCAGAAGAUGGGUGUGCGUAUGAUUAGGUAGUUGGUUGAGGUAACGGCUCACCAAGCCUUCGAUCAUUAACUGGUGUGAGAGCACGACCAGUCACACGGGCACUGAGACACGGGCCCGACUCCUACGGGAGGCAGCAGUAAGGAAUAUUGGUCAAUGGACGCAAGUCUGAACCAGCCAUGCCGCGUGAAGGAUGACGGCCCUCUGGGUUGUAAACUUCUUUUAUCUGGGACGAAAAAGGGCCUUUUCAGGUCAACUGACGGUACCAGAGGAAUAAGCACCGGCUAACUCCGUGCCAGCAGCCGCGGUAACAC
rnacentral:rRNA from 1 species